AUUGAACGCUGGCGGCAGGCCUAACACAUGCAAGUCGAGCGGUAGAAGGGAGCUUGGUGCUGGAUUGAGGGGAGGGCGGGUGUGAAAUGCCUAGGAAUCCGCCGGGUAGGGGGGGAAAAAGUCGGGAAACGGGCGAUAAUACCGUACACGCUCUGAGGGAGAAAGGGGGGGAGCUUGGGAUCGCACGCUUGCAGAUGAGGCUAGGUCGGAUUAGCUAGUUGGUGGGGUAAAGGCCUACCAAGACGAGGAUCCGUAACUGGUCUGAGAGGAAGAUCAGUCACACUGGAACUGAGACACGGCCCAGACUCCUACGGGAGGCAGCAGUGGGGAAUAUUGGACAAUGGGCGAAAGCCUGAUCCAGCCAUGCCGCGUGUGUGAAGAAGGUCUUCGGAUUGUAAAGCGCUUUAGGUUGGAAGGAAGGGCAGUAAGUUAAUACCUUGCUGUAAUGACGGUACCGUCAGAAUAAGCACCGGCUAACUUCGUG
rnacentral:rRNA from 1 species